rnacentral:rRNA from 1 species
CAGCAGCCGCGGUAAUACGUAGGGUGCGAGCGUUAAUCGGAAUUACUGGGCGUAAAGCGUGCGCAGGCGGUUUUGUAAGACAGAUGUGAAAUCCCCGGGCUUAACCUGGGAACUGCGUUUGUGACUGCAAGGCUAGAGUACGGCAGAGGGGGGUGGAAUUCCUGGUGUAGCAGUGAAAUGCGUAGAGAUCAGGAGGAACACCGAUGGCGAAGGCAGCCCCCUGGGCCUGUACUGACGCUCAUGCACGAAAGCGUGGGGAGCAAACAGGAUUAGAUACCCUGGUAGUCCACGCCCUAAACGAUGUCNACUAGUCGUUCGGAGCANCAAUGCACUGAGUGACGCANCUAACGCGUGAAGUCCACCGCCUGGGGAGU